rnacentral:rRNA from 1 species
UGGGGGAUAUUGCACAAUGGGGGAAACCCUGAUGCAGCGACGCCGCGUGAGGGAAGAAGGUUUUCGGAUUGUAAACCUCUGUCUUCAGUGACGAAAUGAGACGGUAACUGAGGAGGAAGCCACGGCUAACUACGUGCCAGCAGCCGCGGUAAUACGUAGGUGGCAAGCGUUGUCCGGAAUUACUGGGUGUAAAGGGAGCGUAGGCGGGGAGACAAGUCGGGUGUUAAAUCUAUCGGCUCAACUGGUAGCAGCACUCGAAACUGUAACUCUUGAGUGAAGUAGAGGUAAGCGGAAUUCCUAGUGUAGCGGUGAAAUGCGUAAAUAUUAGGAGGAACACCAGUGGCGAAGGCGGCUUACUGGGCUUUAACUGACGCUGAGGCUCGAAAGCAUGGGUAGCAAACA